AUUGAUUGGUUAAGAGCUGAUUAAUUGGACGUUACCCAGAGAAGAAGCACCGGCUAACUCCGUGCCAGCAGCCGCGGUAAUACGGAGGGUGCAAGCGUUAAUCGGAAUUAUUGGGCGUAAAGGGUGCGUAGGUUGUCUUUUAAGUUAUCUGUGAAAUAACCUGGGCUUAACCCCGGGGGUGGUCAGGUAAUACUGGGGGACGUUGAGUAUAGGAGAGGGCAGUGGAAUUUCCGGUGUAGCGGUGAAAAUGCGUAGAUAUCGGAAGGAACACCGGUGGCGAAGGCGACUGCCUGGCCUAAUACUGACACUGAGGCACGAAAGCGUGGGUAGCAAACAGGAUUAGAUACCCUGGUAG
rnacentral:rRNA from 1 species